rnacentral:rRNA from 1 species
GAUGAACGCUGGCGGCGUGCCUAAUACAUGCAAGUCGAGCGAACAGACGAGGAGCUUGCUCCUCUGACGUUAGCGGCGGACGGGUGAGUAACACGUGGAUAACCUACCUAUAAGACUGGGAUAAAUUCGGGAAACCGGAGCUAAUACCGGAUAAUAUAUUGAACCGCAUGGUUCAAUAGUGAAAGACGGUUUUGCUGUCACUUAUAGAUGGAUCCGCGCCGCAUUAGCUAGUUGGUAAGGUAACGGCUUACCAAGGCAACGAUGCGUAGCCGACCUGAGAGGGUGAUCGGCCACACUGGACCUGAGACACGGUCCAGACUCCUACGGGAGGCAGCAGUAGGGAAUCUUCCGCAAUGGGCGAAAGCCUGACGGAGCAACGCCGCGUGAGUGAUGAAGGUCUUCGGAUCGUAAAACUCUGUUAUUAGGGAAGAACAAAUGUGUAAGUAACUAUGCACGUCUUGACGGUACCUAAUCAGAAAGCCACGGCUAACUACGUG